rnacentral:rRNA from 1 species
UACGUAGGGCGCAAGCGUUGUCCGGAAUUAUUGGGCGUAAAGAGCUCGUAGGCGGUUUGUCGCGUCUGCUGUGAAAACUGGGGGCUCAACCCCCAGCCUGCAGUGGGUACGGGCAUGACUGGAGUUCGGCAGGGGAGACUGGAAUUCCUGGUGUAGCGGUGAAAUGCGCAGAUAUCAGGAGGAACACCGAUGGCGAAGGCAGGUCUCUGGGCAUUAACUGACGCUGAGGAGCGAAAGCAUGGGGAGCGAACAGG